rnacentral:tRNA from 1 species
GCGCCCGUAGCUCAGCUGGAUAGAGCAACACCCUUCUAAGGUGAAGGUCGCAGGUUCGAAUCCUGCCGGGCGUACCA